rnacentral:rRNA from 1 species
AUUGAACGCUGGCGGCAUGCCUUACACAUGCAAGUCGAACGGCAGCACGGGUGCUUGCACCUGGUGGCGAGUGGCGAACGGGUGAGUAAUACAUCGGAACGUACCUUAUCGUGGGGGAUAACGCAGCGAAAGCUGUGCUAAUACCGCAUACGCCCUGAGGGGGAAAGCGGGGGAUCGCAAGACCUCGCGCGAUUAGAGCGGCCGAUGCCUGAUUAGCUUGUUGGUGGGGUAAAAGCCCACCAAGGCGACGAUCAGUAGCUGGUCUGAGAGGACGAUCAGCCACACUGGGACUGCGACACGGCCCAGACUCCUACGGGGAGCAGCAGUGGGGAAUUUUGGACAAUGGGGGCAACCCUGAUCCAGCAAUGCCGCGUGAGUGAAGAAGGCCUUCGGGUUGUAAAGCUCUUUUGUCAGGGAAGAAACACCGGCUCUAACACAGUCUGGGAAUGACGGUACCUGAAGAAUAAGCACCGGCUAACUACGUGCCAGCCGCCGCAGUAA